rnacentral:tRNA from 1 species
GGGGCCGUAGCUCAGCUGGGAGAGCGCCGGCUUUGCAAGCCGGAAGUCGAGGGUUCGAAUCCCUUCGGCUCCA